rnacentral:rRNA from 1 species
UGGGGAAUAUUGGACAAUGGGGGCAACCCUGAUCCAGCCAUGCCGCGUGUGUGAAGAAGGCCUUCGGGUUGUAAAGCACUUUAAGCAGGGAGGAAGGCUCGCGACCUAAUACGUUGCGGGAGUGACGUUACCUGCAGAAUAAGCACCGGCAAACUCCGUGCCAGCAGCCGCGGUAAUACGGAGGGUGCAAGCGUUAAUCGGAAUUACUGGGCGUAAAGCGCACGUAGGUGGUUUGUUAAGUCGGAUGUGA